rnacentral:piRNA from 1 species
UGAGGUUGGUGUACUGUGUGU